rnacentral:rRNA from 1 species
GACGAACGCUGGCGGCGUGCUUAACACAUGCAAGUCGAGCGGAGCGGCGAACGGGUGAGUAACGCGUGAGUAACUGCCCCCCUCCCUGGGAUAACAGUUGGAAACGGCUGCUAAUACCGGAUAGUGGGGGAUGACUCGUGUCCUAUUAGCUUGUUGGUGGGGUAGUGGCCUACCAAGGCGACGACGGGUAACCGGCCUGGGAGGGGGACCGGCCACAUGUGUCUGAGAGACGGACCAAAGGGCAACGGGAGGCAUCGGUGGGGAAUAGUGCGCAAUGGGGGAAAGCCGGAGACGGAGACGCCGGGUGCGGAAUGACGGCCUUCGGGUUGUAAACCGCUUUCAGCCAUGACGCGGUAGUGGCAGAAGAAGCACCGGCUAACUACGUGCCAGCAGCCGCGGUAAUUC